AGGGAUCAUUACAAGAACGCCCGGGCUUCGGCCUGGUUAUUCAUAACCCUUUGUUGUCCGACUCUGUUGCCUCCGGGGCGACCCUGCCUUCGGGCGGGGGCUCCGGGUGGACACUUCAAACUCUUGCGUAACUUUGCAGUCUGAGUAAACUUAAUUAAUAAAUUAAAACUUUUAACAACGGAUCUCUUGGUUCUGGCAUCGAUGAAGAACGCAGCGAAAUGCGAUAAGUAAUGUGAAUUGCAGAAUUCAGUGAAUCAUCGAAUCUUUGAACGCACAUUGCGCCCCCUGGUAUUCCGGGGGGCAUGCCUGUUCGAGCGUCAUUUCACCACUCAAGCCUCGCUUGGUAUUGGGCAACGCGGUCCGCCGCGUGCCUCAAAUCGUCCGGCUGGGUCUUCUGUCCCCUAAGCGUUGUGGAAACUAUUCGCUAAAGGGUGUUCGGGAGGCUACGCCGUAAAACAACCCCAUUUCUAAGGUUGACCUCGGAUCAGGUAGGGAUACCCGCUGAACUUAA
rnacentral:ncRNA from 7 species